AGUUUGAUCCUGGCUCAGGAUGAACGCUAGCUACAGGCUUAACACAUGCAAGUCGAGGGGAAACGACAUCGAAAGCUUGCUUUUGAUGGGCGUCGACCGGCGCACGGGUGAGUAACGCGUAUCCAACCUGCCCACCACUUGGGGAUAACCUUGCGAAAGUAAGACUAAUACCCAAUGACGUCUCUAGAAGACAUCUGAAAGAGAUUAAAGAUUUAUCGGUGAUGGAUGGGGAUGCGUCUGAUUAGCUUGUUGGCGGGGUAACGGCCCACCAAGGCGACGAUCAGUAGGGGUUCUGAGAGGAAGGUCCCCCACAUUGGAACUGAGACACGGUCCAAACUCCUACGGGAGGCAGCAGUGAGGAAUAUUGGUCAAUGGACGAGAGUCUGAACCAGCCAAGUAGCGUGCAGGAUGACGGCCCUAUGGGUUGUAAACUGCUUUUAUAAGGGAAUAAAGUGAGUCUCGUGAGACUUUUUGCAUGUACCUUAUGAAUAAGGACCGGCUAAUUCCGUGCCAGCAGCCGCGGUAAUACGGAAGGUCCGGGCGUUAUCCGGAUUUAUUGGGUUUAAAGGGAGCGUAGGCCGGAGAUUAAGCGUGUUGUGAAAUGUAGACGCUCAACGUCUGCACUGCAGCGCGAACUGGUUUCCUUGAGUACGCACAAAGUGGGCGGAAUUCGUGGUGUAGCGGUGAAAUGCUUAGAUAUCACGAAGAACUCCGAUUGCGAAGGCAGCUCACUGGAGCGCAACUGACGCUGAAGCUCGAAAGUGCGGGUAUCGAACAGGAUUAGAUACCCUGGUAGUCCGCACGGUAAACGAUGGAUGCCCGCUGUUGGUCUGAAUAGGUCAGCGGCCAAGCGAAAGCAUUAAGCAUCCCACCUGGGGAGUACGCCGGCAACGGUGAAACUCAAAGGAAUUGACGG
rnacentral:rRNA from 1 species